UACGGAGGGAGCUAGCGUUGUUCGGAAUUACUGGGCGUAAAGCGCACGUAGGCGGCUUUUAAGUCAGGGUGAAAUCCCGGGGCUCAACCCCGGAACUGCCCUUGAAACUGGAGAGCUAGAAUCUUGGAGAGGCGAGUGGAAUUCCGAGUGUAGAGGUGAAAUUCGUAGAUAUUCGGAAGAACACCAGUGGCGAAGGCGACUCGCUGGACAAGUAUUGACGCUGAGGUGCGAAAGCGUG
rnacentral:rRNA from 1 species